UACGGAGGGUGCGAGCGUUGUCCGGAAUCACUGGGCGUAAAGGGCGCGUAGGCGGCAGGCCAAGCGUGCGGUGAAAGUCCGGGGCUCAACCCCGGAUCUGCCGUGCGGACUGGUUUGCUAGAGCACUGUAGAGGCGAGUGGAAUUCCGGGUGUAGCGGUGGAAUGCGUAGAGAUCCGGAAGAACACCGGUGGCGAAGGCGGCUCGCUGGGCAGUGGCUGACGCUGAGGAGCGAAAGCGUGGGGAGCGAACAGG
rnacentral:rRNA from 1 species